GAAAGCGUAAUAGCUCACUGGUCUAAAUAAGGGUCUUUGCGCCGAAGAUGUAACGGGGCUUAAGAUAUGUACCGAAGCUGUGGAUGUACACUUUUGUGUACGUGGUAGCGGAGCGUUCCGUAAGCUGAUGAAGCCAUCUGGUAAUGGGUGGUGGAGGUAUCGGAAGUGAGAAUGCUGACAUGAGUAGCGAUAAAGAGUGUGAGAAACACUCUCGCCGAAAGUCCAAGGGUUCCUGCGUAAAGCUAAUCUGCGCAGGGUGAGCCGGCCCCUAAGGCGAGGCCGAAAGGCGUAGUCGAUGGGAACCAGGUUAAUAUUCCUGGACCUGUGGGUGGUGACGAAUGGUGUAAGUUGUUCGGGCUUAUUGGAUUGUCCGGGCGGCGAAACUGUUCCAGGAAAUAACCCCCACGUGAGACCGUACCCGAAACCGACACAGGUGGACAGGUAGAGCAUACCAAGGCGCUUGAGAGAACUCUGCUGAAGGAACUCGGCAAAUUA
rnacentral:rRNA from 1 species